GUGGGAGGGGGCUUGCCCCCGAUAGCCGUGUGUCAGCCAGCUAAUAGGGGGCUGACACUACGCAAUCGGGGGCAAGCCCCCUCCCAC
rnacentral:antisense_RNA from 1 species